rnacentral:lncRNA from 1 species
CCUCACCAGAAGCCAGUUGACCGGCACCUUGUUCUUGGACUUCCCAGCCUCCAGAACUAUCUAGAGACAGAAUCCAUGUGAAUGGAAAUGAUAAGUGCUACCUCCACAUCAGGCCCUUGGAAGCCUCCAUGUGCCUGUCACCAGCUUUUCCAUUUCCAGAUGACUGGGAUGGAUUCUGCCCUCAGAGAAACCUUCAAAGGCAAGUGUGGAAGAUGUUAGCACCUCCGCCAGCCUGGGUUCCUGGAUUCUAACAGAAAUAAAAGUCCCCCCAUUCCCUAACCCCAGGACAUGAACCAAAAAUAACCGUGCUGUUUUUGAGCCAUUAUAUAUUUGGGGUCUGUUUGUUACCCUAACUUACCUUAACUAACCAUAUUCCUGAACCUGGUAGUAUUCACCAAACCUUAGAGCUGCCAUCUUGUUAUUAAAAAAAAGAAAAGAAAUCUGUUCUUGUUUGGACACAUUCACCCAUCAAGAAAAGCCAUCUCUCUAGCCUCCCUUUCUAUAUAAUAAAUGAACAACACAUAAAUAUUUAUACAUUCAAAUAUUCCAUAGAGCCAUUAUUUCAAUACAGAUAAAUUAAUACCGCAAAAAAUAUAGAGAGUUUCAGAGAUGAAGACAGACUUUCUCUCCUUUUUGUCUCAUACUCUUAGAAUAAACUAGAAAACUCUGUGUCAUUACUUCUUACACAAGUGAAUGGACAUGUGUGUGAAAUAUGAUACAUAACAUUUUUAAAAAGCAAACACAGC